rnacentral:rRNA from 1 species
GCCCGUCGCUCCUACCGAUUGGAUGACUCGGUGAAAUCACCGGAUGCUUACGAGCAGAAAGUGAUUAAAUCACGUUAUCUAGAGGAACGAGAAGUCGUAACAAGGUAACGGUAGGUGAACCUGCCGUUGGAUCAGUUCUAGUUUUAAUAACUAACACGA